rnacentral:rRNA from 1 species
GACGGAGGAGGCUAGCGUUGUUCGGAAUUACUGGGCGUAAAGCGUGCGCAGGUUGUGAGAUCAGUUGGAUGUGAAAGCCCGGGGCUUAACCUCGGAUGUGCAUCCAAUACUGUCUCGCUGGAGGUUGGAAGAGGAGAGUGGAAUUCCCAGUGUAGAGGUGAAAUUCGUAAAUAUUGGGAAGAACACCAGUGGCGAAGGCGGCUCUCUGGUCCAUACCUGACACUCAUGCACGAAAGCGUGGGGAGCAAACAGG